GAAGAAGGCCUUCGGGUUGUAAAGCACUUUCAGUCGUGAGGAAGGCGGUGUAGUUAAUAGCUGCAUCGUUUGACGUUAGCGACAGAAGAAGCACCGGCUAACUCCGUGCCAGCAGCCGCGGUAAUACGGAGGGUGCGAGCGUUAAUCGGAAUUACUGGGCGUAAAGCGCAUGCAGGUGGUUUGUUAAGUCAGAUGUGAAAGCCCGGGGCUCAACCUCGGAAUUGCAUUUGAAACUGGCAGACUAGAGUACUGUAGAGGGGGGUAGAAUUUCAGGUGUAGCGGUGAAAUGCGUAGAGAUCUGAAGGAAUACCGGUGGCGAAGGCGGCCCCCUGGACAGAUACUGACACUCAGAUGCGAAAGCGUGGGGAGCAAACAGGAUUAGAUACCCUGGUAGUCCACGCCGUAAACGAUGUCUACUUGGAGGUUGUGGCCUUGAGCCGUGGCUUUCGGAGCUAACGCGUUAAGUAG
rnacentral:rRNA from 1 species